CCUGAGAAACCCAAAAGAUCGAAUGGGGAGAUUCAUCGUCAGCUCAUUUUGUAUAUAUGCAAUUCAUGAUAUGGGUUACUACUUGUAGUAUUGCCUAUACAUUUUUGUAUAUUUAUUUGCAAGAUGUUGUCGGCGUGCACUUCUCCCCUAGUAGGACGUCGCGACCCGUUGAGUGUCGGUCUACGGCCCAAGUGGGAGCUUUUAAUAAAUUUUAUUUAUUGAAAACCCUUGGUGUUUCCCGACUGGCACUCGUCGGUAUUCGUAUGGUAUUGAGUCGCAUAUUAUGUGCGUUCCUAUCCAUCGCAAGCGAGGUUAGUUAUUGAUAGUGCGGACCUAGUGCCGUCGUUGGUGCUAAUCAGCUGUUGGUUGUAUGGAAUUCUAGGACUGGCUCAUUGAAUACCGGUCAGCGAUCUACUGCUUUGG
rnacentral:rRNA from 1 species